AUGAGCAACCUUGUAAAACUGCGCCAUUUUCUUGUCCAAGACGGUGGUUUUGAACUAGGGCAGAUAGGACAGUUGGUAGAACUUGUUGGGUUACUCAGAGUCCAUAACAUUGAGAAUGUUGAACGAAAGGAAGAAGUGAGUGCAGCAAAAUUGAUACAAAAAAUCCACUUAAAGAAGCUAAUAUUAGAGUGGGGUAUUUAUGGACAGAAUAAGGAUUUUGUGCAAGAACAAGUUCUUGAAAGUCUUAAACCUCAUAGCAAUCUGCACAUUAAAGGGCAUAGAGGUGCUAAUUGUCCGUCGUGGCUAGGUGGGAACCUCUCAGUAAUGAAUUUGGAAUCUCUUUCCCUGCAUGAUGUAGGUUGGAAUAUUCUUCCACCUCUAGGGGAGUUGUGGUCAGUUAGUGAACUUGGUGAAGAGUAUCAAAGUUCCAUCUCAAGUCAAAGAUUUCAAAAUCUUAAAAGGCUAGAAUUAGUUAAGAUACCAAGGUUGAGAAAAUGGGUUGAAAAUAGCACUUGUCAUUUCUUAUCUCAACUAGAAGUUCUCAUUGUUAAAGAUUGUUCUGAACUCGUGGAGCUGCCAUUUUCACGCCGUCAAUCAGAGCAAGAAGCAAAUAUGACUUGGUUUCCUAGAUUACGGGUUCUUGAUAUUGUAGACUGCCCAAAAUUGUUGUCACUACCUCCUGUCCCUUGGACUACUGCUGCAUCCUCUGCCAUGAUAAAGCGGGUAGGAUCUAGUUUGGAAUGGCUGGAGUACUCAAAAAAUUACAGGUCAAAAUUAAGCUUGGGGGUUACGGGGAAGGAUGGGCAAGAUGGCAUGUUCUGGAAUAUGUUUGUAUUCGGUAAUCUAGCUGGUCUAAAAGAGCUGAAGAUUAAGAAUUGUCCCCCUCUGCCAUUGUAUCACCUCCAGAAGUUAACAUCUCUGAAGUCCCUUGAAAUAGAUUAUUCGAGUAAUAGCAAUGUCUUGUUGACAACUGACAAUGAGAGUGAUAUCAUAAACAAGUUACCAAUUGAACAACUCAGGGUUAUGUCUUGUGGUGCCCGUGAGAAAGAAUUGACGCAGUUGCUCUCUCAUUUUCAAGAUCUCAGCAAGUUGGAAAUAAUUGGUUGUGAAAAGGUAACAAGAGUUGGUGUGAUGCAGCAACAGCAGAUGACAAGACGAGAGGAGGGAAUUAGUGAUCGAGAAGGUGGAGUUUUGCUCUCAUCUCCCCAUCUGCAAGAAUUGGUGAUCGAUAAUUGCCCAGAGCUGAGCCUACUCGCGAGUUCACUCCAAGGCCUCCGCUCCCUCCACUCACUAGUGAUCAUGAAUUGCCCAGAGCUGAGCCUACUCGCCAGUUCGCUCCAAGGCCUAUGCUCCCUCCGGUCAUUUGGCAUACAUGGUUUCCCCAAGUCCUUCUCCUCUUACUUGUCCUCCCCUUCAUGCAUACGACCUCUCCUCACGCAUGGCUGCCUCACAGAAUUAUUCAUCUUUCACACCCACAAAUUUCCCCCCUUUUUCGAGCCCUCGCGGAUGCAUGACAAAGAGCCCAGAUCUUGCAAACUUCAGAAGCUAUUCACAGAUCACUUCACAAGCUUCCUUAAUGUGCCCAUCUACAGCCUCCUCUCCUCGUCCAUCACCAGCUUACUCGUUUCUGACAUUGGUAAGGUGGAGCGCUUUUCUAAGGAGCAAGAGGAUGCCCUUCAGAUCCUCACCUCCAUCAAAAACCUCGAGUUCAAUAAGUGCACCAAGCUACAGUGCCUCCCAGCAGGGCUACAUAGACUUUCCAGCCUCAAGAUGUUACGGAUUGCAUGUUGUCAUGCCUUGCAAUCGCUGCCCAAAGACGGCCUCCCAACUUCUCUGCAAGUUUUACAAAUCGAUUACUGCCCUGCUUUCAAAUUGCUGCCCAAUGACAGCCUCCCAAGUUCUCUGCAAUGUUUAAGCAUUGGCAGAUGUGAUUUCUUGGAAUCGCUGCCCAAGGAUAGCCUGCCAAGUUCACUGCAGGAAUUAUGGAUCAGGAAUUGUGAUGCCCUGAAAUUUCUGCCCAAGGAUGGCCUCCCAUGUUCGCUGAAAACAUUAGACAUCUCUAGCUGCCCUGCUCUGGAAUUGCUACCCAAGGAUGGCUUGCCAUGUUCUCUGGAAAAAUUGAAGAUCUAUGAUUGUCCUGCUCUGAAUUCAUUGCCCAGUGAUGGCCUCCCGGAUUCCCUGCUAGUGUUAGAUGUCCGUAGUUGCAAAAGCGAGGAGCUAAAGAGGCAGUGCCGCAAGUUUAAAGGAACCAUUCCAAUCGUGAUGGAUUAA
rnacentral:rRNA from 1 species